GAUGAACGCUGGCGGCGUGCCUAAUACAUGCAAGUCGAGCGAACAGACGAGGAGCUUGCUCCUCUGACGUUAGCGGCGGACGGGUGAGUAACACGUGGAUAACCUACCUAUAAGACUGGGAUAACUUCGGGAAACCGGAGCUAAUACCGGAUAAUAUAUUGAACCGCAUGGUUCAAUAGUGAAAGACGGUUUUGCUGUCACUUAUAGAUGGAUCCGCGCCGCAUUAGCUAGUUGGUAAGGUAACGGCUUACCAAGGCAACGAUGCGUAGCCGACCUGAGAGGGUGAUCGACCACACUGGAACUGAGACACGGUCCAGACUCCUACGGGAGGCAGCAGUAGGGAAUCUUCCACAAUGGGCGAAAGCCUGACGGAGCAACGCCGCGUGAGUGAUGAAGGUCUUCGGAUCGUAAAACUCUGUUAUUAGGGAAGAACAAAUGUGUAAGUAACUAUGCACGUCUUGACGGUACCUAAUCAGAAAGCCACGGCUAACUACGUG
rnacentral:rRNA from 1 species